CUUUCAAAAGUUCAGAAAUGUGUCUGUGCUCUAUGAGGUGAAACGCACAUAAUAAAAUAUUUGGUGAUGAAGUCCUGAAAUCUACUUUUGUGCUAAAUCAACUUUCACAAAGCUGCUGGACCGGGUGUGAUAUCAUUUUUUCCAACAUGUCCUGAACUCACUCUUUGGGAGAUGAAAUUUCCAAAGCUGCCUGUAUUCACACAUGUCCGGCACAGUGUGAAGAUUUCCCCCUUGGAUGCCAAAAGGGCACUGCCAAUGAGUCUAAGAGUGAAGCAGAGUCCAAAGCUAUACUUUAAAUAAAUGCCAUGGACAUAUUUGCAGUACUAAGAAUAAAAAACAAACAAACUGGUGAGCAGAUAAGAGUAUAACCUGGCUCUUGUUUUUACUAAUAGGUUAGGGUUGGACUUUUGUGUUCACACAUGGACCCAAUAAAAGUUCUGACUCCAGUGAACAGGGGUGUGUCCAGACUGCCUUUACUUAGGAAAUAGGACAGUGAAUAGAGUUGGAAACUGGGAGAGAGAGAGAGAAAGGAGAACAGCAUAUGGCAAUAGGCCCAAGACUGGACUCGAACCUAAGCUGCCCAUUUUAAGGGCUACAGCCUCAAACAGAUGUCCAGUCUAAUGCAGGGGUGGCAUUUAGUUCAUGUGCAGAAAUCCAGAAUUCACAAAUCACAAUUUUUUAAUCUACAUUAAAUAAAUUUACCUGUAUUUUUCUGGCACUGAUACACUGUUGGUUUUUGGACUGCAAGACAGUGCACAUAAGUUUGCUCUCCUACUUGUCUUAUAAAACAGAUUAGUUAAGUAUUUUUCCACAAUUUUGAGUAGUAAUAAAGGAAAAUGAGUUACACAGUCCAAACAGCUGGAGUUAAGUCCUGACCCUUACACAGGAAAUAGUAAAUCAUAGUUUGAUUUGGGGAGGAUGGUCAUCACUGGUCUCUGUUUCUGUUUGGACUCUUAUCUAUGACCUUUUGUUGCACAUCUCCCAACUCUCCCCUCCCCUGAUUUCCUGUCUCCAGUUUCAGCUUUGCUGUCAAUAAAGUAAAGUAACUUUAAAAAUAGAGAACUGAUUCCAUUAAGGUCCAUGCCAGCCCUAGCCACUUCUUUGGAUCUGUCCUCGAUUAUGGAUUCCAGCUUUAAUGAGAGAGAUCACUGUUUUUCUUCAUGUUAGAGUUUAUGUUAGAUAGCACUGCAAGACAGACAUGUAGUGUUUGAUGGCUCCACUUUCAGUCAUGUGAAUAUCUCUCCAUAAUGUCAUUACCGUACGUUUACGGGAAAACACACUUAAUAUUUAAUGAUGUAGAUUUUUCAACCUAGAAUGAAAUUUUACAUUUUUACAUUUUUUUGCUCAAGUCAUGUGUUGCUUGGUUCUGUCUUUUCCCCUCCAGGUGUCUCAUUUUGUCGUCCUUUCACACAGAUUCAUAUUAUGACCCAUAUCCUCUGACAGCCAGACUGAUCUAAAUUGCUGAUUAACUCAGCCCUUUCGUUUCUCUACCCUCCUUAUUGUCUCUUCCUCGAUGACUGCAGCAGUAGCCCUGGAAUACCGCUGUCUCUGGAGGGUGUGUGUGUAUGUGCGUGUGUGUGUGUGUGUGUGUAUGGGGCAUAAGGACAGGAUGGCCCUGUGUGACGGCAUUCUCCCUCAGGGGCCUAUUUUUUCUGCAGGUGAACGGUGCAUCAGGAGGAAAAGCUUCCAUUUAUAUCACUUAAUCCAGAGGACACACUAUUAGAGCUCCAGACAGGGGAGGAAAACACACACUGACGUGCCUGUUUUUUUACACACACACACACACACACAUGCAUAGACAGUGAAACACCAGCAAAGACACACAUAAUGGGACAUAUCCCCCCCCCAGACACACACACACACACACACACACACACACACACACUCAAACACUCACUCACACACAUACACACAUGCAUACGCAUACUAACAUUAGCUCAUAUACACAGAUCUGUCACGGACAGCACAUCGGCACGCUUGUGUAAGUCUCGUUAAUGCAUGUGUGUGCGAGUGUGAAUAUGUGUGUAUGCUAAUGCAGGAUGAACAUGUAAUUUUCAUGUUAUUAGUCAAGGCACAGAUUUGCAUAAUCUGCCAUAGCUCAAUACUAUAUAACAUCUUUAACAAGUUAUUUCAUUAUAUAAAGCCUCAUGUUGCAAUAUAUUAUUUAAUUUUCUGUGCAAUUUUUACAACCUCUUUUUUUAUUUAUAGUUUUUAUAUGUGCCUUUCUUACUGUCUGGUGUUUCAUUAACAUGUGCAACUAUUAUAAGUAGCACACAGAUUAUAAAACUGUGUAAUGAUAUUUAAUGUUCUGGUUCUGACUUUGUAGCAGAAGUGCCCCCCCAAACCCCUCCACCAAUUUGGAAGUAAGGCUGCUAGUGCUGGUCUUUAUUUGAUCCUGUCUCUCUCAGUAAUCUGUGGGAUUGCAUGCAACAAAUGUCUUCAAUCUGCUUCCUAAUCACGGCUCAAACCAGGAGAACAAUAACAUGCUGACAUCAUACUGCAGAUUAUGGUGAGUCUGCUCUGCUCUCGAAGGGCUCUGCCGAUCUGUUCCACCAUGACUGUGUUUUCCUUUUGUCUUACUGCACAGAGUCAAAUAAAAACAAAACAUCCUCACGGAUCAAUUAUCUUGCAGAUUUCUUCCAAAUCUUCAUUGUUGUUUUUCUUCAAGUUCUUGUUCUUCACUGAACAAAAUAUGAAUCCCACUAACUUUGAGAAAGUAAAGCCUCAUUUUUUACCAACGGCAAUUAUAAUAAGUUGGAUUUCAAGCUCGGUAAUUUAGGAUGAGAAACAGCCAUAAAACAGAGACUCUGAAUAAUUUGACUCCCUGGUUUUGUCAUUAUUCCCAGAGGGAUGGCAGUGCUGGUUUGACGUUCCAUUAACAAUGUGGCUGCAAAUACACUUAAUUUACAAGGACUUAUCACACUCCAAAAUGCACAAAAGAAAUGAGAACUAUCAAUGCAUAAUACAUUUGGGGCCUGAUCUACUAAGAUCCAAAAUAGUGAGCACUAAAUUGCGUGCGCAAACUGAAAAAUCGCACGUGCUAUUAGUGUGCGUGUUGCAGAUGAUCUACUAUCACUGCGUGCGCAAUUGAUGACGGGUGCGAAAGUGGUGCGGACCGUCCUCUUUAAAUGAGGAUUUUGCAUGUGCUAAAGGCUGUCACCAUGGACAAUUUGUGAGAGCAGAGUGUUCGAAACCAUGGAGUUGUUCAUAUCGUUUUGGGGAACUGCAUGAAAGGCAAGCAAAGGAAGUUUAUUUGUGUUGCACAAUUCAUACACAAGGCAACACAAAAUGCUUUUCAGAUGCAAGAAGAUAUACUAGAAAUCAAAAAAGGGAUUAAAAUGAUUUAAAAUCAAUAAGACAAACAGACAAUUUUUUUUCGUCUGUUAUUAUUUAUGAAAAUCGUCAUUUAGCAGAAAAAUGAAAUAAAUCACAAACUUUUGGACAAGGAUCAUGGCGUCUAUCAUGGCACUUCUACCUCCUUCUCCCCACAAUGACCGUGCGUAAUGCUGUGCCAGUUUGCAUGUGCCUUUCAAACGUGCCAAAUAUAGAUGCAAAAUAGCAACCGCAAUCGGUUUCUAGGUUUGAUAAAACACAUCGCGGGUGCUAAAUGAUUCCAUUUGCAUCUGCUCCUCCCAGAAGUUUGCGCGAUCUGAUGAUCUACAUACAUUCUGCAUAUUCAUGAAGGCAAACACGCUAAAUUGUUUGCGCGUGCUGUUUUGCUCAUUUGACAGACGCAAUCUUCGGUGCAAGAUCAGGUUUGCAAGUUUGCACCCAAACCUUUAGUAGAUCAGGCCCUUGACUUUUUAAAUGGCUGGAACAUAUUUUAUCUACAUGACCACACCUUUGGCAUAGAACAACCUUUCCAACCCCAUGCCCUGCAGAUCUCAGCUGUCACUCAAGCAAACAUUAUUGCUGGCUUCCUGCAGAAACAUCAAGCUAAGAGGGGAAUCAAUCGGAUAUGGUGCAAGAGGUAAUGAUAUAAUCAAUAUGCAUCAUGUUCUAUGUUUUAGAUAUGGCAUUUAAUCACACUAAUGACCAUUCUUUAAAGUGAGGGAGUGAAGCAUGAUGACACAUUUCAAAUGCUACACUUGUCCUCUCAUUCUAGUUCAGGCCUGUGCCGAGAAUUGAAUCUCUUCAACUGAACAAAUUGACUGCAUGCAGUGAGCGAGGCAGCGCUGUGACCUUUUCCCAAACAGUUCCACAGUACAACCCAGCGCCAGUUUGAUAUCUGCUAUGUACAAUUGAAAAAGAUACCGGUUGAAUAGGCAGCCCAUUCCUCUGACUUGGCCACGAAUAAAUCUAUAUGUCCUCCCCUCCUGCCCCUCUCAUACCUUCCUGAAUCCACGAGCCAGGAGACCCCAACCAAUAAAAACCUGAUCUUUAUAAGUCUGGAGGGGGAGGCAGGGAAGUUUGGGGAAAUUGCUGAAUGGAAAAGGCAAUAUACAGCUAGAAGAUAAGACAGAGCGGUGGGACUAGCUGCUUAAGGCUCUGAUUUUCACUUGGGAUACAGAAGCCCUGAGCUAACUGAGCUGGUAUAGCUGCAGAUAUGUUGGUAUAUGCUUGGAAAUUUCCAUGCUAUCAUUCUGUAUAGGUGAGAUUAAUGAUGUUUGAGUGACAGAUUUUGCCUGAAAUUAUAUAAAAAUAAAAUGACAACACACUGUGUGAGAUUGUUACUAGCAGAGACAGCCUAAAGGUACCAUAUUUUAUAUGUCAGCUUCUUCUUUUGUCGUCAUUUCCAUCCUCCUAUUCUUAGCUCUUCAAAUCCCAAACGAGAAGCUAUUGUUCCCAUCUGUCCCCCAAAAUGGGUCCAAAUUAGAUCGAACAUGCUUCAAAAUCUAAUUACAAUCAAAUGAACAGAAAUUAAAAGAAACAUGCUUUUUCUGCUUGUCGGAAGUCUAAACGCCUCCUGAUUUCAUCGCUAGUCUGGUGUCGUGCUGACUUCUACAGCACCCUGUCUUUUCUUCAGCAUUUCUCACCAUCUCUGUCUUUCUCUGCACUAUAUUGGAUA